AAUGAACGCUGGCGGCAUGCCUAACACAUGCAAGUCGAACGGCAGCACGAUCUAGUUUCUCCGCUUGAUUUCGCGUGGGGCGGGGGUGUGACAUAUAGCUGACCUUGCUCUGUAGCGGGGGUUAACUCGUGGAAAGAUUAGCUAUAACGGCAAAUGUCUUGAAGGUGAAAGUGGGGUACUGCAAGGCCUCUUUCUUGACGAUCGUCGGUUGUUCCAUUAGCUAGUUGGUGAGGUAAAGGCUCACCAAGGCGACGAUCAGUAGCGGGUCUGAGAGGAUGAUCAGCCACACUGGAACUGAGACACGGCCCAGACUCCUACGGGAGGCAGCAGUGGGGAAUUUUGGGCAAUGGGCGAAAGCCUGAUCCAGCAAUGCCGCGUGUGUGAAGAAGGCCUUCGGGUUGUAAAGCACUUUUGUCAGGAAAGAAAAGACGCUGAUUAAUACAUGGAGUUCUUGACGGUACCGAAAGAAUAAGCACCGGCUAACUACGUG
rnacentral:rRNA from 1 species